UGGGGAAUAUUGGGCAAUGGGCGCAAGCCUGACCCAGCCAUGCCGCGUGAGUGAUGACGGCCUUAGGGUUGUAAAGCUCUUUCAGUAGUGACGAUGAUGACAGUAGCUACAGAAGAAGCCCCGGCUAACUUCGUGCCAGCAGCCGCGGUAAUACGAAGGGGGCUAGCGUUGUUCGGAUUUACUGGGCGUAAAGGGCACGCAGGCGGCUUGACAAGUUGGGGGUGAAAUCCCGGGGCUUAACCCCGGAACUGCCUUCAAAACUGUCAAGCUAGAGAUCGAGAGAGGUGAGUGGAAUUCCUAGUGUAGAGGUGAAAUUCGUAGAUAUUAGGAGGAACACCAGUGGCGAAGGCGGCUCACUGGCUCGAAUCUGACGCUCAGGUGCGAAAGCGUGGGGAGCAAACAGG
rnacentral:rRNA from 1 species